UCCUCGGAGUUUUUACUUUUUUCUGUAACAAUCCGUUUCCGAUAGCAAGACAUUUUAGAAGGAAAAAAAAUACAAGUCACAGAUCCGUAGAAAAUUUAAUAUAAUAUGAGCGCGCGUUAAUGGGAAUAUCAGUUAUUUUUGAGUCCGGAAGAAUCAGUUUAUGCAUAGAGGUUUAUGCAUGUGUGAAGUACUUUGAAAUCUUGGUCUGUAAUGUUUGCUAAUAAUAAACUAAUAGAUGAUAAAUUGUAAAUGCGUUUACCAUUUUGAAUAAGAUAAAGAUGUAAGAAACAAUUGCUUU
rnacentral:lncRNA from 1 species